rnacentral:lncRNA from 1 species
GUCUUGGGUUGAGGAAGCAGAUAACAUUGGACUAAAUAGAAUAGAAAUAUGGAGAAAAAUGUAUUGCUUCUGAACCAUCUCUGUGGGGACCUGCAGCGCCUCCUAUCGGUGGAAAAGCUGAACAAGACAAUGAAAAGUAGACUGCAGUUCUGCACCCAGGGCUCAGUAAGCCCUGGACCAAGACAGAAGCUUCCCGGUGUAGUUUCGACACUUGUCAGAUGCAUGAUCACACAGUUGGUGUAGGAGAAAGAUGGCCCAGGCUUCUCCCCGGAGAGGGAGGUAAGACAAUCAUUGCAGUCAUGACGGACUUGCAAGCGUGGAGGUGUUUGCAUCAAGACCAAGCCCUCACCAGGGCCAUCAUCCUACAAAGCAGCCUGGUGACAACUAACCCUCUACUCACCC